UGGGGAAUAUUGGACAAUGGGCGCAAGCCUGAUCCAGCCAUGCCGCGUGAGUGAUGAAGGCCCUAGGGUUGUAAAGCUCUUUCACCGGUGAAGAUAAUGACGGUAACCGGAGAAGAAGCCCCGGCUAACUUCGUGCCAGCAGCCGCGGUAAUACGAAGGGGGCUAGCGUUGUUCGGAUUUACUGGGCGUAAAGCGCACGUAGGCGGACUUUUAAGUCAGGGGUGAAAUCCCGGGGCUCAACCCCGGAACUGCCUUUGAUACUGGAAGUCUUGAGUAUGGUAGGUGAGUGGAAUUCCGAGUGUAGAGGUGAAAUUCGUAGAUAUUCGGAGGAACACCAGUGGCGAAGGCGGCUCACUGGACCAUUACUGACGCUGAGGUGCGAAAGCGUGGGGAGCAAACAGG
rnacentral:rRNA from 1 species